UACGGAGAGUGCAAACGUUGUUCGGAUUCACUGGGCGUAAAGGGCACGUAGGCGGCUCGGCAAAUCGGUCGUGGAAUCUCGACGCUUACCGUCGAAACGGCGGCCGAAAAUACCGGGCCCGAGGGCGUGAGGGGUCACUGGAACUCCUGGUGAAGCGGUGAAAUGCGUAGAUAUCAGGAGGAACGCCGGAGGCGAAAGCGAGUGACUGGCGCGUUCCUGACGCUGAGGUGCGAAAGCUAGGGGAGCAAACAGG
rnacentral:rRNA from 1 species